UGUGCAUAACACACAGGAAAUGAAAGUGAAAGCAUAACCUACAGUAUAAAGGAGCUUCUUGCCACCACUUGUACUAACACUACAGCACUCUGCAGAGCCACAGAUACAAAAGCAAUGGGAGGAGCAUUUUCUAGUGAGCCAUGGAGGGAAGUGACAAAAGGUUACCAGGACAAUCUGGAUUUUGUGAAAUCUA